rnacentral:rRNA from 1 species
GAUGAACGCUGGCGGCGUGCCUAAUACAUGCAAGUCGAGCGAACGGACGAGAAGCUUGCUUCUCUGAUGUUAGCGGCGGACGGGUGAGUAACACGUGGAUAACCUACCUAUAAGACUGGGAUAACUUCGGGAAACCGGAGCUAAUACCGUAUAAUAUUUUGAACCGCAUGGUUCAAAAGUGAAAGACGGUCUUGCUGUCACUUAUAGAUGGAUCCGCGCUGCAUUAGCUAGUUGGUAAGGUAACGGCUUACCAAGGCAACGAUGCAUAGCCGACCUGAGAGGGUGAUCGGCCACACUGGAACUGAGACCCGGUCCAGACUCCUACGGGAGGCAGCAGUAGGGAAUCUUCCGCAAUGGGCGAAAGCCUGACGGAGCACCGCCGCGUGAGUGAUGAAGGUCUUCGGAUCGUAAAGCUCUGUUCUUAGGGAAGAACAUAUGUGUCAGUCACCGUGCACAUCUUGCCGGUACCUAAUAAGAACGCCACGGCUAACUACGUG